rnacentral:rRNA from 1 species
AGUAGGGCGGGACACGUGGUAUCCUGUCUGAAUAUGGGGGGACCAUCCUCCAAGGCUAAAUACUCCUGACUGACCGAUAGUGAACCAGUACCGUGAGGGAAAGGCGAAAAGAACCCCGGCGAGGGGAGUGAAAAAGAACCUGAAACCGUGUACGUACAAGCAGUGGGAGCCUCUUAAUGGGGUGACUGCGUACCUUUUGUAUAAUGGGUCAGCGACUUAUAUUCUGUAGCAAGGUUAACCGAAUAGGGGAGCCGAAGGGAAACCGAGUCUUAACUGGGCGUUAAGUUGCAGGGUAUAGACCCGAAACCCGGUGAUCUAGCCAUGGGCAGGUUGAAGGUUGGGUAACACUAACUGGAGGACCGAACCGACUAAUGUUGAAAAAUUAGCGGAUGACUUGUGGCUGGGGGUGAAAGGCCAAUCAAACCGGGAGAUAGCUGGUUCUCCCCGAAAGCUAUUUAGGUAGCGCCUCGUGAAUUCAUCUCCGGGGGUAGAGCACUGUUUCGGCAAGGGGGUCAUCCCGACUUACCAACCCGAUGCAAACUGCGAAUACCGGAGAAUGUUAUCACGGGAGACACACGGCGGGUGCUAACGUCCGUCGUGAAGAGGGAAACAACCCAGACCGCCAGCUAAGGUCCCAAAGUCAUGGUUAAGUGGGAAACGAUGUGGGAAGGCCCAGACAGCCAGGAUGUUGGCUUAGAAGCAGCCAUCAUUUAAAGAAAGCGUAAUAGCUCACUGGUCGAGUCGGCCUGCGCGGAAGAUGUAACGGGGCUAAACCAUGCACCGAAGCUGCGGCAGCGACACUAUGUGUUGUUGGGUAGGGGAGCG